rnacentral:rRNA from 1 species
GUGAGGAAUAUUGCGCAAUGGGGGAAACCCUGACGCAGCGACGCCGCGUGGGUGAAGAAGGCCUUCGGGUUGUAAAGCCCUGUCAGGUGGGAAGAAACCUCUGAAGGUGAAUAGCCUUCGGAACUGACGGUACCACCAAAGGAAGCACCGGCUAACUCCGUGCCAGCAGCCGCGGUAAGACGGAGGGUGCAAGCGUUGCUCGGAAUCACUGGGCGUAAAGCGCGUGUAGGCGGUCCGAUAAGUCGAGUGUGAAAGCCCGAGGCUCAACCUCGGAAGUGCAUUCGAAACUGCCGGACUUGAGUACGGGAGAGGGAAGUGGAAUUCCUGGUGUAGAGGUGAAAUUCGUAGAUAUCAGGAGGAACACCGGUGGCGAAGGCGGCUUCCUGGACCGAUACUGACGCUGAGACGCGAAAGCGUGGGGAGCAAACAGGAUUAGAAACCCCAGUAGUCC